UACGGGGGGGGCAAGCGUUGUUCGGAAUUACUGGGCGUAAAGGGUUCGUAGGUGGCCUGCUAAGUCACACGUGAAAUCCCUCAGCUUAACUGGGGAACUGCGUGUGAGACUGGCGGGCUUGAGUGCAGGAGAGGAACGCGGAAUUCCAGGUGGUAGCGGUGAAAUGCGUAGAUAUCUGGAGGAACACCGGUGGCGAAGGCGGCGAUCUGGGGAAGAUACUGACGCUGAGGUGCGAAAGCGUGGGGAGCAAACGGGG
rnacentral:rRNA from 1 species